rnacentral:rRNA from 1 species
CCUACGGGUGGCAGCAGUGGGGAAUAUUGCACAAUGGGGGAAACCCUGAUGCAGCGACGCCGCGUGAGUGACGAAGUACUUCGUUAUGUAAAGCUCUAUCAGCAGGGAAGAAAAUGCCGGUACCUGAGUAAGAAGCCCUGGCUAACUACGUGCCAGCAGCCGCGGUAAUACGGAGGGGGCAAGCGUUAUCCGGAUUGACGGGGUGUAAAGGGAGUGUAGAUGGCUGUGCAUGUCUGGAGUGAAAGGCGGGGGGUCAACCCCCGGACUGCCCUGGAAACUGUACGGCUGGAGUGCAGGAGAGGUGAGUGGAAUGCCUAGUGUAGCGGUGAAAUGCGUAGAUAUUAGGAGGAACACCAGUGGCGAAGGCGGCUUACUGGACUGUACCGGACGUUGAGGAUCGAAAGCGUGGGGAGCAAACAGGAUUAGAUACCCUAGUAGUC